UUCCGAAUGCGGGACUGGCGGAUAGUGGACUUACCACGUGGACUGCAUUUCGGGUGUAUAGCCGACCGCCUGGGCAAGAGAU
rnacentral:ncRNA from 2 species